GGGCAUCUAACUCAGUGGGAGAGUAGCGGUCUUUUAAACCGCAGGUCCGGAGUUCGAUUCUCCGGGUGCCCA
rnacentral:tRNA from 1 species